rnacentral:rRNA from 1 species
UAGGGAAUAUUGGUCAAUGGAUGCAAGUCUGAACCAGCCAUGCCGCGUGCAGGAAGAAGGCCUUCUGGGUUGUAAACUGCUUUUGCCGGGGGAUAAAAAUCCCAUGCGUGGGAACUUGAAGGUACCCGGUGAAUAAGCCACGGCUAACUACGUGCCAGCAGCCGCGGUAAUACGUAGGUGGCAAGCGUUGUCCGGAUUUAUUGGGUUUAAAGGGUGCGUAGGCGGUUAUAUAAGUCAGUGCUGAAAUAUCCCGGCUUAACCGGGAGGGUGGCAUUGAUACUGUAUGACUUGAGUAAAGUUGAGGUUGGCGGAAUUGACGGUGUAGCGGUGAAAUGCUUAGAUAUCGUCAAGAACACCGAUAGUGAAGACAGCUAACUAAGCUUUAACUGACGCUGAGGCACGAAAGUGUGGGGAUCAAACAGG